rnacentral:tRNA from 1 species
GCCUCCGUGGCUCAGCGGUAGAGCAGCUGACACAGAAUCAGCCGGUCGUGGGUUCAAGUCCCACCGGAGGCU